AGAAAGAAAGAGAGCUGGGAGGACGCUGUAGUAAAUACACUUAGUUUGGCGAUUAAUGUAUAUUGUUAUCCACAUAUGCAUUGGUAGCAGCUAAUUAAGUCAAGGAGAAGUAUUAAGGGCGUUUCCAUUUAUGUGGAAACUAAUUAUACUACCUAGUGUAAAGCGUGGGACUCGAUAUGCAGGGACACGUUGUUUAAUUGUUCGUUAGAAAUUGCAUUUUUGUUUAAGACUAGAGGGAUCAAAUGUAGGUAUUUUUUUUUGUUUGUUUUAUGUCGAAGGUAGCCGUCGCUGUUUUUAUUUUAAUAACAUUUUCAUUCAAAACGCACGCUUGCGACGGAACCCGACGCACACAGCGCUCUGGGGUAUCAUGGCGUGAAGGCUGCUGUUUAAGCGAUAGGGCCCAUCGAUGAGGGCUCAUGUGAACUGACCGCGAUGGGAGUUGUUCCGAGCUGAAGACGAGGCGCUAACGAAAGUCAAGGUCAACUGUCACACGGUAGAGCCAUCGAGAGGGCACUGUCACGAACUCCCAAACUAAUGCAGAUGGCAGGCUGACGAGGAUUCUGUGGCAGGUAUGCGCUCUCUCUCUCUCCCUCCCUCUCUCUCUCUCUCCCUCCCUCCCCCUGUCACUGUUUGUCUGUGCGUCAGUGGGGGUGUUGCAGGUCUGUUGUGAUGAGUUGCAUGUCCGUGUUUCACCUGACAGUAAUGAUUACACACACCAUGCACUGAACAGCACCUGCAAGCGAAACACUGUGCAGGAUUGAACCACAAAAUAGUCCUUGUUGUUGGAAAGCCCUUGAAGUAUUCUAAUCAACAAAGUAGUCCGUUAAUACAAAUUAGUGUUUUGUCACUUUGCAAAAACUUCCUCUCGGUGUUUUGCGAAGCUGGACUAUCAAGGGAGAGGAGUGUGUGGUUUUAUUAAUGUUGCCCCAGUGUAUCUGACAAUAUAAGCUCCUCUCUGGGUUUGUACUUAAAUAAACGCCUGGUUUACGAAAUGUUUCCGGAGUCUCUCUCCUCUGUAGGUUUUGUAACCAAUCAUAUCAGUGUGCUGUUUUACACUGCUUUAGCUCUGGUCUCUUCACAGUAAUUGCUGUAUGAGUUUUAUUUACACUGGAAGAUAUUUGGGGGGGGGGGAUUUUAAAAGUGAAUGGAUACCCUGAUCUAGCUAGAUAGGUAGAUGCAUAUCUUUCUGUUUAUAUGUAUGGAUGGAAUAGAGUUUCACAACAAGGAGCACAACACCAAAAAGCUCUAGCUCCAGUCGAAUUAUUAUUAUUAUUAUUUAUUAUUUUUUUUUUGUCAG